rnacentral:rRNA from 1 species
AACGAACGCUGGCGGCAGGCCUAACACAUGCAAGUCGAACGACAUAGUGGCAGACGGGUGAGUAACGCGUGGGAACGUACCCCAAGGUACGGAAUAGCUGUUGGAAACGACAGGUAAUACCGUAUGUGACCGUGAGGUGAAAGAUUUAUCGCCUUGGGAUCGGCCCGCGUUAGAUUAGCUUGUUGGUGAGGUAAUGGCUCACCAAGGCGACGAUCUAUAGCUGGUUUGAGAGAACGACCAGCCACACUGGGACUGAGACACGGCCCAGACUCCUACGGGAGGCAGCAGUGGGGAAUCUUGCACAAUGGGCGAAAGCCUGAUGCAGCCAUGCCGCGUGAAUGAUGAAGGCCUUAGGGUUGUAAAAUUCUUUCACCAGGGAAGAUAAUGACUGUACCUGGAGAAGAAGCCCCGGCUAACUUCGUGCCAGCAGCCGCCGCCG